rnacentral:ncRNA from 6 species
UGAUUGUCCAAACGCAAUUCUUGU